rnacentral:misc_RNA from 1 species
ACCCAAAAGACACUUCAUCAUUCUUCCUCACACUAAAGUUCCAAAGUCCAGAUCUUAUUAAGAUGAUAUGAGUUUAUAGCUUGUUAGCACGUCGAAAUAUUCUCAGUUUACUAUUCAAUAUUCACCUAUUCAUGAUGAAAGCUAAGUGGAAGAAGAAGCUUACGAGGAGGCUCAAGAGUAAACGCCAAAAGAUAAGAAGAGAUCGAAGUAGAACCUUGUUCCGAAAUUCUCAACGGUCUAGCUAUGCUUAUGGUCUUCGUUAGGAUUCUGCGGUUUAAGUUUUGUUUGAAACUUCAAUAAUAUUUGAGUUGUGAUUUUGUUCUAAUCGUACAUUAUUCAAAUUUCGGUAUUCGAUUUUGG